rnacentral:misc_RNA from 1 species
CGAACGGCCGGCAGGCGAUCCGCGUCGGUUGCGCGAGGUGGUGUUAUGUAUGGUUACWCAGAGGCCGGUUCUUGUGUUGCCUACCCUUUCAGGGGAAGCGCGUGCCACUUGAUGUAGCCUCCAUCCGGCGCCCUCCAGCGGGCGCCGGAGGACAGCGGAGCACCCCCCGCGUUCCACCGAGNNYCCGUCGGUCGCGUGGCAAGCGGGGACGUGCGAUGCUCUCGGACCCAGCGCACGCCGUGGGCGAGGACUCGCGUCCCAGUCCCAAGUGAAAGCUUCGAUGCAAUGUACGACGGCCGCUCCCGCCCCCGACCGCCCCGGCGGCGCGAGGGCGAGGCGCGGCGUCGCGGAGGAAUGUUACCUGGUUGAUCCUGCCAGUAGUCAUAUGCUUGUCUCAAAGAUUAAACCAU